UAAAGAGAGAAGGAAAAUCCAAAGCUUUUUUUAGCUUUCUUUCCAGGAGCUGGUCAAUUAAUCUUCCUAUCAAAUUCAGACUUAUUUUUAAACUUGUGGUUUCUUGUCUGCAUCCCACUCCGCAAAAGGAAUUUAAUCUGCCCACGUCUCACUUAUAUUUAGAGACAUGGAUCUUAACCAGCAACCCUUUUCUGUUUUUUUUUUUUUUUUUUUUUUGAUAGUGAGAUUGGAGUCUGGACCUUGAUCACAAGUCAGUUGUAUGUCUUUCAUAUCAAUCUCUCUAAAGAGGGUCAAACAAAGCAGUUCUGCAUGAAGGACAAUGUUAGGAAAUGCACUGAAGGAAGCCACAGUCCAGCAUGGGAGUCAGAAGUCAUCAAAGACAUACAGAAGCAUGUGUAUAGCUGCAGAUGCACAUGACUAUUAUCUAUCAGUGGGAGUUGCUACAGUGUUUUCCCUGAACUUCAAGACUACUCAAAAAUACUGUUGGUGAGAGCUCUGUUUUCCUCCUUGUCUCAAACCUACAUAAAUAACUGUCCAUUUCAGCACAAAAAGCAGGGAAGACUGAUCAUGGGGCGAAGAAGGGAAUGUCA
rnacentral:lncRNA from 1 species